UAGGAACAAAAUGAAUGAAUUCCCUCUAGCUAGUCCUAGUUAUAGAAAGAUGAUGGAAAGAUCUGCAAAAAAAAUCAGAGAGAACAGUUCUUUUAAUGACGAGGAAGAAGUUUUAAAUUUUAGUAUCGGACCUAGAAAUUUAAUGAACGUUUUCGAAGCAGCAUCCGAGGAGACAUGAAUUAUGUACAGAUUAGUCAAACGCCUUUUUUUUUAAUUGAUCAAAUUAUGAUUCUUUGGAAUUGUAUAGUCGUCUUCAACAAUAAUUUUUGCUGUAUUUGUUCCGGCAUCUGGCCAGACAGAAGCCAAGCAGGCUUGUGAGACACAUUAACGUUUUACAACUGUGAUUUAG